rnacentral:lncRNA from 1 species
UCUCCGAAGGAUUUCUGGGUUGGAGGAAUGAGCAUUUUACCCGCUUAUAAACAAACAAGUCAGACCAGCCCCGUCACAGGACAUCCAGCCUUCCCAGAGGGCCAGGGGUCUGCAAGCAGGAGGGCAGAAGGCAAAGACCCUGCUCCCGCGGGCAUCCAGAGGCAGCAAGAAAGGGGGCGCCUGCAUAUGCUGCGCGUUGCAACCACCCAUGUAAGGGAGACUGCUCUGUUCUGCUUCCUGGAUACAAAACACGAGGUCCAGAGAGGGACAGAGACCUGCCUGCAGUCACAGAGGGGGAGGCAAAAACAAGGUGAGAACUCGGGGGGGUUCGACUUGACGCUUUCACUAAGCAUCUAGGUCAGGUGCUAGGAAGGCAAAGAAGAAUCAGACAGACCGAGCCCUGCAUUUGGGAGCUCGCCGUCUCAUGGCGGAGACAGGCAGGUAACCUACAGUGGGGGAGGAACAAGGAGGUUGCCCCGGCCGAGGGGUCGGAAGGCUUCCUGGAGAAGGCAGCCUUUGGCCCUGGGGAGAAGGGAAGCGUGGCCAGCCGGCAGGGUCUUGCACGAGCUCCCUUCACAUCCUCAGCCGGGCCUCUCUCCUGCGUCCCCAGAUCUGCUGCUGACCGUGCAGGAUGCUGGCUUCAGCAGCCACUUCUCCCAGGCCUAUUUUUAGACCCAAUUCACUUCUAAAUGCAAACACAUUGUCAAGACAGUGGCCAACUUGGAUCCCGUCCACCAGCAGCCCUCUCUGCGACACCAGAAUAGAAAAUGGCUCUAUUUGUGGACGACACGGCCCGUUGGCGGAGGCCUGGGCUUCGGCGGGAGGCCAGAUCGCGGCCCAGCCCCUGGAUGACCCGGACGCAUCGAUGCUUCCUACCCAAAUACAGUAUAAAAAUGCAUGUGGAAUCACGCUGCAGUUAAUCUCAUAAAAAGGCAACUUUUUCCUGGACUGACCACGGUGCCAGGCGAGUGGGAGCCGAGCUUGGAGGAGAGUGGAUGCUAUUUGCCGUAGGCAGGCUGCCCGAGGUCGUGUCUCAUUAUCUCUGCUUUCCUAGUCAGAAAGCCCUUGGACCGGGAACUGGGGGUUGCAGACCGGUCUCAGGAGCACGAAAAUCCUAACAGCCACAGCUACUCAUUGUGUGUUCACUGUGGGCUGGUGCCGCAUCCACUCUCAUGCCCCAGAGUGCUCUCUGAGGGCUUAGGACUAGGCCUUACGCAUCCUCAUUUUCCCAGGAAGGGAUGUUUGUUUGACUCAGGAAGAUGCUCCGUAAUGGGAGUUGAAUAACUGGAUGACACUCCAGGAAAAAAAAAAAGGGGAGAUUCCCUGGUGGCCUAGCAGCGAAAGACUCAGCAUUGUC